CACUUUGGUUUCAAAAAUGCAUAUUCAACACAUUGUUUACAUGUUUAAUUUUCCUUCAAAAAUCAAAAAUUGCCCAUUUCGAUUUCUUUUCAUUAUUAUUCUUCUAUUAUCAUCUUUUCAUACUCAGAUAUCCAAUAUUAGCCAUUAGUUAGACACUUUGUAUACCAAAGUUUAGAAACAAUAUUACUCUUAGGCAUUUUAUCGAGCACGUUAUGUGCACACAUUAACUUAUCUCAACUCUUGAUCUUAAAUGGUU
rnacentral:lncRNA from 1 species